rfam:Prevotella intermedia 17 chromosome II, complete sequence.
GCCCUGACUGUAUGUAGGGCGAACUCUCGCACAGUGCGAGGGCUGGAGACGUGGUCAUCUUCGGCAAAUAUUCAUAAGGUGCAGACCUCACCUUGACCCC